UUUUGCAACCCUUGCCAUGGAUCAUGGAAUUUUCUGCUAUUUGCUUAUCCUGGCCAGACAGCAAGAGAUGCAGUACAUUUACAGAAAGGAAUGUGUCCUUGGAUGCGAAUCCUUUUCAUCAGGCCAGGAAUCAGAACAGCACAUAUCUGCCUCUCCUGAGAGCACGGCCUCUGGGAGGAGCUGAGCAGCUGCAUUCAGAAGUCAGAAGGUGCCCCAGCAAAGGCUUCUGGGCACCCGGGACAGGGUGCAGCACCUAGAGGGGAGGCUCCUUUGCUUUGGGGCAGAACUCCUCUUCCUUUGCUGAGCUUUUCCUGAGAUCCAUGGUGGGGCACUUGCUCUCUCUCCUACGCUGAACCCUGACCUGUCACAAGAGGCAGACUUGACAGACUGUGGACAGCCUCCAGCUCUCCGUGGACCCAAUGGAACCUCUGCACUCUGCUGACCCACAGAUCAAUGGACAUUACCUGGCUGAAUGUUUUUCAUCUUUUCUCCAGCAUAGCUGCAUGAUGUCUUUCAGGAAGAUUGUUCUGUUGUGCCAAUCUGAACAUUUUAUGCAGUGAAAACAAACAAACAAACAAAACCAACCUGUUAAGCUGUUGCUAUGAGGAGAAGAAGAAGAAGAAG